rnacentral:rRNA from 1 species
CGGGACGGGUGAGUAAUGUCUGGGAAACUGCCUGAUGGAGGGGGAUAACUACUGGAAACGGUAGCUAAUACCGCAUAACGUCGCAAGACCAAAGAGGGGGACCUUCGGGCCUCUUCGCCAUCAGAUGUGCCCAGAUGGGAUUAGCUAGUAGGUGGGGUAACGGCUCACCUAGGCGACGAUCCCUAGCUGGUCUGAGAGGAUGACCAGCCACACUGGAACUGAGACACGGUCCAGACUCCUACGGGAGGCAGCAUG